AUAUACAGCAAGGUUCCAAAGAGGACGUCCUUGCUAUACAUAAUCUGCGGAUGGGUUGCGGACAGCUGUCCGUUUCUUUAAAUGAAAACCAAUGGCCCAGAUCGAUCUCUUCCCAAAGAACAACGCGGGUCGAAGUACAAAGCCUCAGACGAACUGUAGACUCUCCACUUCGAUGCAACCAAGGACGUUGGUUCUCCAUCUCAUCUCCACCCAAAAUCUAGGUCUUCUCCUCUCCAAAUACUAGAAACUCAUCUCCGGAGUGAUUCCACCGGCGACGCCCGAUAUCAGUCCCCGCCGAACCUCGUCAUCUCCUUAGUCCUCCUCACUGCUGCCGUUUGGGUUCGACGAUGACGCGGUCAACGGAGCUCAUCACCGGUGAAGACCCCGAUGAAGGUCCCCAAGUCGCCGUAUAAGGUGACUCCUGCUGUGAAGAGCCUUCAGCAAAAGUCCAAUUCAUUGUUCUCUUAUGAGCUUCAAGAGAUUGUCCAUGCUAAGGCAGAGGUUUUGGAUUUGCAAGAUGAUUUCAGUUAAUGUCUGAGGAUAGUUGUUCAUCAGCUCAUUUCGUAGAAUAAUGUCUCAAACAGAUCAGUUAACUACCAGAAAACAUGCUCUCUAAGGUAAGCUUUGAGCUUUCUGUAUU